AAGAUUGUGUUCAGGGGCCUCAGAGAUGGUGUUCUGAGCUCAGAGCAGCUCAAGGCCACCCUUUCCCAAGGGCAGUACCAGAGAACACUUCAGAGCUUCAAAAUACGAUGACAAAAUGGCAAAAGUGUCCCGGUGGCUACUCAGGAAUGCUGCUCAUCAGCUCCCUGGCCCCCAUGAGAAUAGAUCAGCAUUUUCCUUGUGUUUUUUCUUCAUCUUCCCCAUGUGUUUGGACGAGCCCCCAGUGUCUCUCAGGAAGGCUACUUGAAUUAUGGAGGCCCAGCCUUUCUGUGCGAACUGUAAGAAAAUAACGGAACAGAUUUGAGGUAUUUCAUGGAGUGUUUAUAAGACCUUAGCUCCCCCGGGGAGCCAGUGAGAGUUUUGUGGGAGAGGAGCCUUCCUUGGGACAUUGGAGCAAGUCACCCCAUUGGCUCACCUGCUAACAGGGUCAGAGAUCAGCAGGGACAGGUGACCAUCAUUCUGUAAACUGCCUGGCAGGAAUGAGGACGGUCUAAAAACACACAUGUCUCUCCGUUUGGCCAUCAAACUACUGAAAUAAUGACCACCAAGAGGUUGAAAUUUCCUGGAGAGUCUCGUGUUGGUAGAAGGAGAGAUUGGAGCUUGGACAAGGAUGAUGAGUGGGACCAUUCCCUGGCCAGGACUGCUUAGGACCCUGGUCCUUUAUAUCAAUCUAAACCUCAUGACGGAACCCCUGAGAUGGACCUGGAGGUCACAGUAUUGCUUUGUUCUUCCCACCUUGAGAAAUAUUCUCUUUCUUCGUUUCUCCAUUAGCUGUGACUUUAAGUGGAAUAUUGAUGAUCCAGCACCCAACCCCCUUUGUUUAGGAGCAGACUCUGACCCUAGCUCCAGUAAGUACUUUGCGGCUACGAAAACUAAGACUCUCCUCACAGGUCUCAGCAAGGUGUGAGGUCUGAAAGAUGAAUCUAACCUUAUCUCGGGUUCAGUCAGACUCUGGAAUGAAGAAUGAGUUUUACAUUCUGAGCACUGAAAACUAAAUCAGAGGAAGUUAUUACUGGGUGGCAUUUGAGAGAGGUAUGAAGUUGAAAUGUCAUCGUCCAUAAAUAAAGCUUUAUUAGAACCAAA